AGCCCCUCCCAGACGCCCCGGGGAAACGGCAUCCCAGAGCUCCGCUCCCUGGAGGCCCCUCCAGAGAGGGACCCGGGGCCCCGCCCCGCAGCUGGAGAAGGGGUGAAUGCCUUUCCUACCUAACGCCUGGUCCGCGGCCCUGCUUGUUGCGUCUCCAAGACCACGUGUCUGCUGCAUUUUAAAAAUAGUUGUGAACAUCUGACUUUCUCCUUUUGCUGGAGUGCAGUGGCACAAUCUCUGCUCACUGCAACCUCGGCUUCUCAGGUUCAAGCGAGUCUCCUGGCUCAGCCUUCCCAGUAGCUGGGAUUACAGGCGCGUGCCACCAUGCCCGGACUUUGGAGUUUGCUGAAAUGUAACCUCAGAAUAAGUGGGGUAUGACUGCCCUCUCCUUUGAGGGAAAAGAAAAAGUAUUUUCAGGCCAGGCACGGUGGCUCAUGCUUAUAAUCCCAGCACUUUGGGAGGCUGAGGUGGCAAAAGAGAAGAUGGAAGCCAUCUACUCCAGGCCCUUGAGGAAGCUGAGCGGCUCCCUGAGUAGGGUUGAGGUGGAUCCAGAAGGCAACAUCCUCUGGAAGGAAGGAGAGUCAGGAUGGUGGGGGCCUCACUAUGGUUUUGAUUUGCGUUUCCCUAAAGAUUAGUGAUGUUGAACAUCUUCCCAAGUGCUUAUUGGCCGCUUGUUUAUUUUCUUUGGAGAAAUGCCUAUUCAAGUCCUUUGCCCAUUUUUGAAUCAGGAUUGAUUUUCUAUGGUCUAGCUGUAGUUCUUUAUACACUGUGGAUAUUGAUUCCUUAUCAGAGCUAUGAUUUGAAAAUAUUUUCUCCCAUUCUAUAGGUUGCUUUUUUCACUCUGUUGAUUAUACUCUUUGACACACCCAUGGAGAAGAUUUUAAAGGGCAGGUAGAAGUCAGACAGUUUGAGCAGCAGCGUAGUGAAGAGAAGGCCUUUCAAUCGAAGGAAAUAGUCUGUGCAAACACACAGAGGAGAGAACCGCAACAUGCAGGUAGUUGGGUCUUGCUAGUACACUGGUGAGGGGUAGGAGGUGGGGACAGGUGAGACUGGAGGAACCACAUGACAGAGGACGGUUCUAGGUCCGCCAAGUAGCAGGACUUCGUUCUAAGGUGGCACUACUCAAAAGAGUGGUCUGAGGACCCUGGCCCAGCACCCCCUACUAGGAGUUUGUUAAAAAUGCAAAUUCCGGCUGGGAUCCUGGCUGAUGCCUGUAAUCCCAGCACGUUGCCGAGCUGAGGCGGGAGGAUUGCUUGAGUCUAGGAGUUUGAGACCAGCCUGGG
rnacentral:lncRNA from 1 species